GGAAGAAUGACGCCCACAACUGGAAUGCCAUGGAUCAGGAGUGGAGACCGCAGAGGAGAAAAUAGAGUUUCACAGGAUCCUUCACCACUUCCAGAACUGCUAAAAAGCUGCACCAUGCCCACCAGCUGGAACUGUAGAGGAAAAUGUCCUCACCAUUUAGCUCAAGAUUGAAUGUGCCUGACUGCUGAUCCUGGAGCAGCUGGACUAGGUUGGUUUUGUGGCUUCUCCACAAGAAGCACCAUGAACCCUGAUGUUUCCAGGGGCAUUGGGAAGGGCAAACCAGGCCCCUUUCCUUCCUGAAGGGAGGUACACCGGCUGAUCCAGGCACAGCAGACACCCUGCUCUUGCCAGUGGGCUGGUCUGGAGGUACCCAAACCCACCCUGCUCUCACCAGUUUGCUGCUGCCUGGCAGGGACAGGGCUACCACCCCAACCAGGGAAGCUGGUGUGCACAAUGUUGGUGCAAGCUACCAUGAACUACCCCCACUAUGAAACUCACCUUAAUGAAGGGAAACAUCCCUUCUCUGUCCUGCUGAUUGUCACCUAGGCAUUUAAGACCCUCUUUGGAGGUCAUUGCCUUUGUCCAGGUGGGGGACACUCCAUAGUGCCUUGGGAAGCAGUUAUGCAGGGGUAGGUGGGGCUGUGAGGGAGUAGCUGGCAAGAGGCCUCCUUAGGGCUGCUGCCAGCUCUGGGGCCCUGCCCUCGGGCCUGUCACUGCUGCAGCUUUUCCCCAGGCCAGGGGAUGGCCAGACUGCUGCUAGCCCUGGUCAUGAUC
rnacentral:lncRNA from 14 species